UACUUGGUCUGCUGGACAUCUACAGCAAAGAGACAGUGAAGAGCGCCAAAAAUCGACACGGCAAGCCGUGGACCCAAGAAGCCAGGAGUCACUUCCGUAGAAUAGCUGGAUGCCUCCUCGAUCAAGAAAAGAAGCAUGCUCCUCUUGACCAGCGAAUGUGGGCACAACAGGCUCCCAAGGCCUCCCUGGUAAACCAUGUCGCCACGUGGUUGUCGUACAAGGCCUAUCAGAGAAGUGUUGAAUCGGAGCAGCACCGGUGGACGCUGAGGGGUCUGGGGUUGACAUCCGAGCAACUUUUCUUCGUGUCUCACUGUGUGCCUUGGUGUUCGGACAAGAAAGACGACAUCGCGAAGCGCCAGCAGUGCGUUCAGCCUUUGCUGAACAUGCCAGAGUUUGCCAAGGCCUUCAGAUGCGGUCCCAACGAUCGGAUGUUCAGCAGCUCCAAGUGUCCGUUUCUCUAGUGGCUCUCUUGAUAAGUUGCGUCAAUGGCGAUCACGCGCGCGUUGCACUUAAGAUCUUCGUCCUGCGUGCGGCGGGAACCGACGACAUUAUAGAGACACCGCGGUCGAUAUUUAUUGUCUUAUUGAAGAUUGUGAACGUGUAAAGUCAGGUUAUUUUCGUUGUAAACACACAGUUUUUCGUGACAUUCGUAAAUAUACUUCAGAAACAACUGUAAUACAUAUGUAAUAGUUCGGUGCACUGAAUACAUUGCCUUUACACAUUGUUGUUCUUAUUAUUUUGCAAAUAAAGAAUGCCUUUACACUUCU